CCCGACUCCACCCCGGAGGCCAUCUGGGAAUCCCACAAAUACGUAAUUCGGGAUCUCAAACAUGGCACCCGGCAAGGAAAAAAAACAGUGCUCACACGAGAUUUAUGACGUAUUAGCCCAUAUUGCACAACUAGAAGUCCAACAUAAAACCUCUUUGGAUGGCGCUACAUACAAACAACUUCUGCUGGAGCAAAACUCAAUUAACGUUUAACAUCACAAAUUCAAUUUCAAUUGGCCAAAAAAGAAU